CCUACGGGAGGCAGCAGUGAGGAAUAUUGGUCAAUGGCCGGAAGUCUGAACCAGCCAAGUAGCGUGAGGGAUGACGGCGCAGUGCGUCGUAAACCUCUUUUAUCAGGGGAUAAAACGCGGCACGCGUCCGUUUUUGAGUGUACUCUAUGAAAAAGCAUCGGCUAACUCCGUGCCAGCAGCCGCGGUAAUACGGAGGAUUCGAGCGUUAUCCGGAUUUAUUGGGUUUAAAGGGGGCGUAGACGGGUUGUUAAGGCAGGUGUGAAAGUUUGCGGCUCAACCGUAAAAUUGCAUUGGAUACUGGGAGUCUUGAGUACAGUUGAGGUAUGCGGAAUGCGUGGUGUAGCGGUGAAAUGCUUAGAUAUCACGAAGAACCCCGAUUGCGAAGGCAGCGUACUAAGCUGUGACUGACACUGAUGCACGAAAGUGUGGGGAUCAAACAGGAUUAGAUACCCUUGUAGUC
rnacentral:rRNA from 1 species